rnacentral:rRNA from 1 species
GAUGAACGCUGGCGGCGUGCCUAAUACAUGCAAGUCGAGCGAACAGACGAGGAGCUUGCUCCUCUGACGUUAGAGGCGGACGGGUGAGUAACACGUGGAUAACCUACCUAUAAGACUGGGAUAACUUCGGGAAACCGGAGCUAAUACCGGAUAAUAUAUUGAACCGCAUGGUUCAAUAGUGAAAGACGGUUUUGCUGUCACUUAUAGAUGGAUCCGCGCCGUAUUAGCUAGUUGGUAAGGUAACGGCUUACCAAGGCAACGAUGCGUAGCCGACCGGAGAGGGGGAUCGGCCACACAGGAACUGAGACACGGUCCAGGCUCCUACGGGAGGCACCAGUAGGGAAUCUUCCGCAAUGGGCGAAAGCCUGACGGAGCAACGCCGCGUGAGUGAUGAAGGUCUUCGGAUCGUAAAACUCUGUUAUUAGGGAAGAACAAAUGUGUAAGUAACUAUGCACGUCUUGACGGUACCUAAUCAGAAAGCCACGGCUAACUACGUG